rnacentral:rRNA from 1 species
UGGGGAAUAUUGCACAAUGGGCGCAAGCCUGAUGCAGCAACGCCGCGUGAGGGACGACGGCCUUCGGGUUGUAAACCUCUUUUAGUAGGGAAGAAGCGAAAGUGACGGUACCUGCAGAAAAAGCACCGGCUAACUACGUGCCAGCAGCCGCGGUAAUACGUAGGGUGCAAGCGUUAUCCGGAAUUAUUGGGCGUAAAGAGCUCGUAGGCGGUUUGUCGCGUCUGCUGUGAAAACUGGAGGCUCAACCUCCAGCCUGCAGUGGGUACGGGCAAACUAGAGUGCGGUAGGGGAGAUUGGAAUUCCUGGUGUAGCGGUGGAAUGCGCAGAUAUCAGGAGGAACACCGAUGGCGAAGGCAGAUCUCUGGGCCGUAACUGACGCUGAGGAGCGAAAGCAUGGGGAGCGAACAGGAUUAGAUACCCGCGUAGUCCCUGAGCGGGCUGGCAAGGCGCAU